GGAUAGCUCAGUUGGUAGAGCAAUAGACUUAUAAUCUAUGUGUCGCGGGUUCGAUUCCCGUUCCAA
rnacentral:tRNA from 2 species